rnacentral:rRNA from 1 species
CCUACGGGGUGCUGCAGUGGGGAAUAUUGGACAAUGGGCGAAAGCCUGAUCCAGCCAUGCCGCGUGUGUGAAGAAGGCCUUCGGGUUGUAAAGCACUUUCAGUGGGGAAGAAAGCCUUGGGGCUAAUACCCUCGAGGAUGGACAUCACCCACAGAAGAAGCACCGGCUAACUCCGUGCCAGCAGCCGCGGUAAUACGGAGGGUGCGAGCGUUAAUCGGAAUUACUGGGCGUAAAGCGCGCGUAGGCGGUCUGAUAAGCCGGUUGUGAAAGCCCCGGGCUCAACCUGGGAACGGCAUCCGGAACUGUCAGGCUAGAGUGCAGGAGAGGAAGGUAGAAUUCCCGGUGUAGCGGUGAAAUGCGUAGAGAUCGGGAGGAAUACCAGUGGCGAAGGCGGCCUUCUGGACUGACACUGACGCUGAGGUGCGAAAGCGUGGGUAGCAAACAGGAUUAGAUACCCCAGUAGUC